CCAAGCGCUCACCAUUCUGCAGAAUAAGGACCAGAACAUUACAGAGCAGUUCAUCGUGGCCCUGUCGUUCUCCUCCUUCACCAAAGCUCUGUCAAGGACCUACAUGAAGAGUGCCAUCACUCAGAGAGACACUUUGACCUGUCCAGCUCUCUCAUCGGACUCAUAGACGGCAGCUUUGUGAUGGGUAACCUGCUGUUCCUGGCUGUCGUCAGCCAUUUUGGGGCGAAGCUGCACCGGCCCAGGCUCAUUGCUAUGGGCUGUUUCCUCAUGGCUGUAGGAUCCUUCCUCACAGGCCUGCCACACUUCUUCAUGGAACGGUAAAACAAC